AGGUUGUGGUCUUGAACCGUGGCUUCUGGAGCUAACGCGUUAAAUCGACCGCCUGGGGAGUACGGCCGCAAGGUUAAAACUCAAAUGAAUUGACGGGGGCCCGCACAAGCGGUGGAGCAUGUGGUUUAAUUCGAUGCAACGCGAAGAACCUUACCUACUCUUGACAUCCAGCGAAUCCUUUAGAGAUAGAGGAGUGCCUUCGGGAGCGCUGAGACAGGUGCUGCAUGGCUGUCGUC
rnacentral:rRNA from 1 species